GCCAGGGUCGUGUAGUGAUUAUCGCAUUUGCCUAGUGAGCAAGAGACCCGGGUUCGAACCCCGGCCUUGGCA